UGCAGGUACUACACAAUGUGAUGCACAGCCCCAGGCUUUGAAGACUGCACAGACAGGGCAGCCAGUGGACCAAUCGUGACAUGACAAUAUGUACCUGGUCUCUUUAUAAAUUACAACAGAAAAGGACAAUUCAGGAAUUGUCAGUCUCAGAAGGGGAAUCACAGGUUGCUUUGUGCGCUAGUCACACAUGGACAGAAGCAGCCACUUCCAAGGCUCCCAGCCUGCACCCCGACUGAGCAGGGAGAUGAGAACCACCCCCGGAAUCAAACCUCAGCUCCGAGAACCAACACCUGCACCAGCUCUCCCUAAGCAACACCUGUAUGGAGCCCUCCACUGCGUUUCUUCAGGUCUGCUAUACUUGGCUGCGCUCCCUGAGAUUUUCUCACGUGUAAAAGAAGAGAGGAGAUUUCCAACAAGCAUAUCCAGGACCAAACACACAAAAAAGAAUAUCAUGUGCAUACAAAUGUAUCAUUUAAGCUCAGUAUGAAAUUAAAUAUGUCAAAACAUUGAAAAGCACUCAGGACAUAUCAAAUAAAGGGCAUUUACAAAAGACCUCAAACAUUCCGCUUAAGCUGUCUGUGUAUAUCAAAUACUGAAAGUAUUGACAUGUAGAAUUUCAGUUGUAUGAUAUUAUAGAACUUGACAUUUUUGGUCAGAUGCUUGAAGCAGACCUCAUUAAGAAUCAGAAAUUUUUUUGCAAAAGGGAAAAGGAUCAAGAGAUGCAGCGAUGGAGGGAGAAGGGGAAGGGGAUUAAGAGAAAGAAUUAAGAUGCGUAAUGCACGCACACCAAGUCCAGUCACCGUGCACUGCAAACAUGGCCUAUGCUGACAAAACGAAAGCUUUCACAAAAGAAUAAGAGUAUUUAAAAAUUGUAAGACUUCUUUCUAUAGUUAUU
rnacentral:lncRNA from 1 species